rnacentral:rRNA from 1 species
CCUACGGGGGGCAGCAGUAAGGAAUAUUGGGCAAUGGAGGCAACUCUGACCCAGCCAUCCCGCGUGAAGGAUUAAGGCCCUAUGGGUUGUAAACUUCUUUUGUUUGGGAAGAAAUCAGGACAUUCAUGUGCUGUUGACGGUACCUUACGAAUAAGCACCGGCUAACUCCGUGCCAGCAGCCGCGGUAAUACGGAGGGUGCAAGCGUUAUCCGGAAUCACUGGGUUUAAAGGGUGCGUAGGCGGUUUGAUAAGUCAGAGGUGAAAGCUAGCAGCUUAACUGUUAAAUUGCCUUUGAUACUGUCAGACUUGAAUCAAGUUGAGGUAGGCGGAAUGUGACAUGUAGCGGUGAAAUGCAUAGAUAUGUCAUAGAACACCAAUUGCGUAGGCAGCUUGCUGGGCUUGAAUUGACGCUGAGGCACGAAAGCGUGGGGAUCAAACAGGAUUAGAUACCCCUGUAGUC